rnacentral:rRNA from 1 species
UGAGGAAUAUUGGACAAUGGGCGCAAGCCUGAUCCAGCCAUGCCGCGUGCAGGAUGACGGUCCUAUGGAUUGUAAACUGCUUUUGUACAGGAAGAAACAGUUCUACGUGUAGAACCUUGACGGUACUGUAAGAAUAAGGAUCGGCUAACUCCGUGCCAGCAGCCGCGGUAAUACGGAGGAUCCAAGCGUUAUCCGGAAUCAUUGGGUUUAAAGGGUCCGUAGGCGGUUAGAUAAGUCAGUGGUGAAAGCCCAUCGCUCAACGGUGGAACGGCCAUUGAUACUGUCUGACUUGAAUUAUUAGGAAGUAACUAGAAUAUGUAGUGUAGCGGUGAAAUGCUUAGAGAUUACAUGGAAUACCAAUUGCGAAGGCAGGUUACUACUAAUGGAUUGACGCUGAUGGACGAAAGCGUGGGUAGCGAACAGGAUUAGAUACCCGGGUAGUCCCUGAGCGGGCUGGCAAGGCGCAU